rnacentral:rRNA from 1 species
ACCUUGCGCNUUUGGAGCGGCCGAUGCCUGAUUAUCUUGUUGGUGAGGUAAAAGCUCACCAAGGCUUCGAUCAGUAGCUGGUCUGAGAGGACGACCAGCCACACUGGGACUGAGACACGGCCCAGACUCCUACGGGAGGCAGCAGUGGGGAAUUUUGGACAAUGGGGGCAACCCUGAUCCAGCCAUGCCGCGUGAGUGAAGAAGGCCUUCGGGUUGUAAAGCUCUUUCAGCCGGAACGAAACGGUUACGGUUAAUACCCGUGACUACUGACGGUACCGGAAGAAGAAGCACCGGCUAACUACGUGCCAGCAGCCGCGGUAAUACGUAGGGUGCGAGCGUUAAUCGGAAUUACUGGGCGUAAAGCGUGCGCAGGUGGUUUUGUAAGUCAGAUGUGAAAUCCCCGGGCUUAACCUGGGAACUGCGUUUGAAACUACAAAGCUAGA